UGGGGAAUUUUCCACAAUGGGCGAAAGCCUGAUGGAGCAAUACCGCGUGAGGGAUGAAGGAUCGUGGUCCGUAAACCUCUUUUCUUAACGAAGAAGUACUGACGGUAGUUAAGGAAUAAGCACCGGCUAACUCCGUGCCAGCAGCCGCGGUAAUACGGGGGGUGCAAGCGUUGUCCGGAAUGAUUGGGCGUAAAGCAUCUGUAGGUGGUUUUUAAAGUCGACUGUUAAAGCCCAGGGCUCAACUUUGGAGAAGCGGUCGAGGACUUAGAGACUUGAGUUUGGUAGGGGUAGAGGGAAUUCCUAGUGGAGCGGUGAAAUGCACAGAGAUUAGGAAGAACACCGAGGGCGAAAGCACUCUACUGGGCCACAACUGACACUGAGAGAUGAAAGUCGGGGGAGCGAAAAGG
rnacentral:rRNA from 1 species